CUCAUUCUUUGAUUGGGUGUUGGAAGAAGAGAACCUUCACUGUUUGUCUCGAGACGUAUAAGAAGUUGUUCAUCUGGUAAUAUUUAAGCUACUCCUGAUUCAAAAAUAUCAGUCCAAAAUGAAGUCCAUCGUGGUGCUGUUUUUGGUAAUGACGACUAUUCUAGUCUCCAUUGAGGCCGCUCCACUCGACUGGGAGGUAGAUGCGUACAUCGACACUUACGAGCCGAUGGAGAAACGAGGCCCUGUGGUUUCAACAUGUCGCAAGGCGGGAAGCACCCAGCAGUGUUUCUGUCUUUAUGACCGUCAAGGAAACGUCGUCAAGCAAUUUAAAUGCAGUUAAAAUGGCGAUAAUCGAGUACCUCUACUACGUCAGCUCUAUAUCUCCACUUCAAGAUACAUCAGCCUCCAUCACCGGCCGCCAUUUUCGGAAAAUCCACUGAUUACACCUCACCCUUGCUAAGACCAUCUAAGACCCAAGACUGGAGCUCCUUGUUGAAACGUGAAAGACGCAUGGGUGCCAUUUCAGCAAGCAGGAUGUUUUCUGUUAAUCAUUGCAAUGGUGCCCAUUGCACAUUUCACAUUUUUCGGCCCAGGUUUCCACAAUGGACCUUUAGUGUUUAUAGUAUUGUAUUUA